AUGACAAAAAUGCAUUAUCAAUGGCAAAAGUUUGGGGGUAUUUUGGCAUUUCUGAAAGACCUACUUUUGCGAACUAGUCCUAGGUUCUCUGGAGUCCAAUUUGCAAUAAUUAUAAAAAGUUUAAAUUUCGAUUUACGGUCACUAAGGAGCACCAAAACACUCAAAGUGGGUGAAGCCACUGUAUUUGAGUGAAUGUGAUUAAUUACUGUACUUGAGUAUCUUUUUGGAUACUCUGCACUCUCAGAAAAAAAAAGGUACAAAAGCUGUCACCGGGGCGGUAUCCUUUUUAAAAGGCACAACUUUGUACCUAAAGAGUCCAUAUUGGGACCUUAAAGAUGCAUAUAAGAACUUAAAGUGUACAUAUUAGUACCUAAAAGGUACAAAAGUGUACCUUUUGAAAAGGUACUGCCCCAGUUACAGUUGUUGUACCUUUUUUCCUGAGAGUGUGUAGUUUUACUGAGUAUCAAAGAUAUUAGAAACUUUUACUCUCUACUUCACUACAUUUUUGAAAAGUAUCUGUACUCUUUACUCCACUACAUUUGUAAUGAGUGUUGCAAUUACAUUUCUGCUACAAAAGAAGUGAUAACGCCAACUACAGGACACUGAAAGUACUUUUUUAAAUUUCACUUAACAUUAUUUUUUCACUAUUCAUUUACAUUUACAUUUAGCAGACGCUUUUAUCCAAAACGACUUACAAAUGAGGGCAAUGGAAGCAAUCAAAAUCAACAAAAGAGCAUUGAUAUGUAAGUGCUCUUACAAGUCUCAGUUAGCUAAAUGCAUGACACAUAACAAGGUUUUUUUUAUUAUAUAAUAAAUAAAAAGAAAACAGAUAGAACAGAAAAAGAAUAGAGCAAGCUAGUGGUAGAGGCAUUUUUUGCUUUUGUUAAUUGUAUAAUAAAUGAACAGAAAACUGAUAGAAUACAAAAAGAUUAGAAAAGCUAGUGUUAGUUUUUUUUAUUUAUUUAUUUUUUUUAAGGAAACAAGCACCUAUUAAAUCAAUAGAGUCUAAAAAGGGCUUUUUUAUAUAUAAAUAAUAGAAUUAGAAUAGAGAGUGCUAGAGGUAGAGGGUCAAAUAAAGAUGGAAGAGAUGUGUUUUUAGCCGAUUCUUGAAGAUGCUGCUCGGAUUGAGUUGGGCAGGUCAUUCCACCAGGAGGGAACAUUUAAUGUAAAAGUCUGUGAAAGUGAUUGUGUGUCUCUUUGGGAAGAACAAUAAAGCAACGUUCACUUGCAGAACACAAGCUUUAAGAGGCACAUAAGUCUGAAGUAAUGAAUUUAGUUAAAGGGGUGCAGAGCCAAUGGUGGUUUUGUAGGCGCACAUUAAUGCCUUGAAUUUUAUGUGAGCAGCUAUUGGUGGCCAGUGCAAAUUGAUGAACAGGUGUGACGUGCGUUCUCGCUCCAGGCUUAUAGUGUCUUUAUCAUAGCUGAAGGGAACGACAAUAUGGUUGUCAAACAACAAACAACAGAUGAUCUAACAAGCGAAAAUUACAAGCAUAUUUAAGCAAAAGUCAACAUGUGUUAGAUCUGUGAAACAAAGCAAAACCAAUGUUACUCAACUAUCAAGAAGAAACAAAGCAACCUCGGUGUCCGAUCGCAGGCCUUCCCGCUCCUUGAGUUCUCUCCAGUGCUGGAAAGCUGAUCCGAAAUUUACACGAGUCCUACUUCUUGCCUUAUCAUAAGCCUUCUUUUGUUUCACAGACGUUUUCCUCUUUUGUUUUUAUCCACCAUCUCUAUCUUUCUGUCGUCGCUCGGCUAAUGUCCGUCCUGUGCGCUGAACGCUCCAUCCUCCCCAUCAUAAGUAGAAACGCUCCUUAAUGCUGAUUGAAUACAAGUUUGUUUUGCUACUCGGCUCAAUUCAGUUUUCUAAAGCGUUUCUGAAAAAAUACAUACCCCACCUUUAACUGUAUACAUAGUGCAUUAGACAUGAAACAGAAAAUGUCUUGGGAUCACUUUGUGAGUGACGAGAGUUUCAGCUGAUCUUCUUCUCUUCAUCAUUUCCUAAUUCUCUUUAGUGUUCCCUUUUUAAAGUAUCAAAAUUAUAAAUGAUUUUACAUUGUUUAAUUGGAAGCCGAGGGAUCAUCAUCAUCCUUCUGUAAAGAAACACAUUAACAAAAAAGGUAAAAUUACUAAGGAGGUCUGAUUAGUUUAAGUUAACAAAAAGAAACAAAAUAAACUCAGAACUAAAAUUAGAAAUUACUACUUUCUCAGUAUAAUGUUAAUUUUAAAGAAUAAUACCAAAUAAGUCUUUACAGAUAUUCACUGGAAUGUUUUUUUUAUGCUUGUUUGAUGAACGGAAACAAUUAUUGCAUGCACUUGUGAAAUAAGAGUUCCAAUAACUUUGCACACUAAAGAGACCUUUCAAUAGACUGUGAAAAACACCAGUGUAAAGAUGCUCAGGGUCUCUGAUCAGCUGUGUGAAAAUGCCAUAGACCUGCUGCAGGGAGGCAUGAGGACUGCAGGUGAG
rnacentral:lncRNA from 1 species